rnacentral:tRNA from 6 species
GCGCCUGUAGCUCAGCUGGAUAGAGCAGCGGCCUUCUAAGCCGCGGGCCGCAGGUUCGAACCCUGCCAGGCGCGCCA